rnacentral:rRNA from 1 species
AUUGAACGCUGGCGGCAUGCUUUACACAUGCAAGUCGAACGGUAACAGGCCGCAAGGUGCUGACGAGUGGCGAACGGGUGAGUAAUGCAUCGGAACGUGCCCAGUCGUGGGGGAUAACGCAGCGAAAGCUGCGCUAAUACCGCAUACGAUCUAUGGAUGAAAGCGGGGGACCGUAAGGCCUCGCGCGAUUGGAGCGGCCGAUGUCAGAUUAGGUAGUUGGUGGGGUAAAGGCUCACCAAGCCAACGAUCUGUACCUGGUCUGAGAGGACGACCAGCCACACUGGGACUGAGACACGGCCCAGACUCCUACGGGAGGCAGCAGUGGGGAAUUUUGGACAAUGGGCGCAAGCCUGAUCCAGCAAUGCCGCGUGCAGGAAGAAGGCCUUCGGGUUGUAAACUGCUUUUGUACGGAACGAAAAGGUUCUGGUUAAUACCUGGGGCUCAUGACGGUACCGUAAGAAUAAGCACCGGCUAACUACGUGCCAGCAGCCGCCGUAACAC